CGACUAUCCUAAACAAAAUAAGGUCAUGUUCUUACUCAAACUGGACUAAGGUUUGUAAUAAUAAAUAUUUUUUUAUGUUCUUAAAUCACAUGAUCUAUACAUAAGGAGCUUUAAAAUGGUUGAAAGAUGUAGGGGCUAAACCAAUAACCGUAACAAGUAACAGAUUUGUGGCGAACAUAAAAUAUUUUGCUGGUUAUGGAUUGUUCUAAAGCCAAAAGUUUCUAUGGGGGUCGGGUCUUUGUGCAGUCUGGUGUGUCACUUAGCUUUCUUGUUAUGUCGUCAAUGCAAUGUGCUAUCACGUUCUUCGGCUAGUCCAUGAGAUCUGGAAACCUAUUCCUCGAACUAUAAAGCACCGCUCGAAAGGGGACACCAUUGUUGACUAUUGCUUAUCUGAUACACACGGAAAUCGAAAGCAAGAUAGUAAAAGCAAAGGUAAAUGGUUAUCUUGUUUCUACAACUCACGUUCUUGAGAAUGUUGAUGUCCUGGAGACUGUCACCUACAACAUUUUGUACCUUUUCUCUCAUGCAUUUUUUCCAUUUCUCGUUUUCUUUUUGUCCUACGUACGGAAAUUAUAAGUAGCUUCAUCUGCUCUACCUAGGUUUCACGAGCUUUCAUGUUCCUUUUUAUUGUUACAGCCCCUCUCAAGCAGAUUUCCAGAGACAUAAACAGUGGUUGCAACAUGCGAAAACAAGGAGUGCGAGACAGAAGAUUAUGAGGGUAUAUUAUUGACUAUGAUAGUGAUGCAGAACAUUCAAGAAAGAGCUUACAAUGGUGGGAGAAAAUCCUCGUCAAUGUCAAGCAGUUCCCACUUCCCAGUCACAAGACAAAAUCAGAUAUACAUCACGAAGAAAAAGGCAGAGAUAUUACAACACCCACUUCUCAAAAUGGAGCACUUGGUCCCAAAGGUAAUGGAAUUGCCAAGAUUUUUCCUGCUAAAAGCUUAGACAGUUGGCGAGACACUAAAAGCUCAAAGGUCACUCCAUCGAAUGGUUCUGUGUAGUAUCUAUGGAUCGGAAAGGCAUAAUCUCAAAGGUUACAACAGUCCUUGUCGUUGAAAGGUUCUGUGUAGUAUCCAUGGAUCGGAAAGGCAUAAUGUCAAAGUUUACAACAGUGCUUGCAGCUGAAAGCAUCGCAGUAUGUUCUUGUUUGUUUAUUCCAUGCCUGAAUUUGCCGAGGAAGAGGAUUAGCAGUAAUGUUGCUUCAAAUAGAAGCAAACAUUGAAAGCUUGGUGGAUCUAAUCUUGGGAUGGUCGAGUGGUUUUAGCUGGCCAAAAUCAACGGAUAAUGCUCAAGUUCUUGAGUGUUAAAGCCAAAAGACUCACGUUCUUGGCCAUGAAGUUUUUUCAUUUUUUUCUUCUUACUUGCUUCUUUGAUUCGUUGUUUCUUUUGCUUGCUUGCUUUGUUACUUGCUACAUUCAUUGUUUGUUUUCUUGCUCAACUUGUUUGCUUUUGCUGCUUCUCUGAUUCCUCUGCUUUGUGUAUUGCUUGUUGUUUCUUUGCUUCUUUGAUUCCUCUGCUUUGUGCUUCCUUGAUUUCUUUGUAUUGUUUGUUCUUUUGUUUUUGCCCAACUUGUUUGUUUGAUUCCUCUGCUUAGUGUAUUAAAUGUUUCUUUGCUUCUCAGAUUCUUAUUCUGUAUUGUAAAUUGUUUGUUUUCUUGCUCAACUUGUUUGCUUUUGCUGCUUCUUUGAUUCCUCUGCUUUGUGUAUUGCUUGUUUCUUUGCUUCUUUGAUUCCUCUUUUGUGUGCGUGCUUCAUUCAUAUGUUUAGUGCAUUGUUCGUUUUUAUUUGCCUCUUUGAUUCCUCUACUUUGUUCAUUACUUGCUUCCUUAAUUCCUCUCAAUACUUGAAGACUAAAAAGAUUGUGUGGGAUAAAUUUUUGUAUCAUGUUUGUAUUAUUAUUCACUCUUAUGUUGAAGAGAGUUACGCAGCGGAGAAA